UGUCCUACAAAAUUGCUUUCUGAAAUCUCCAGUCACAUUCCUAAUUCUCCAAUAACUCCCUUCGAAAAUUUUAAAUCUUUCCCCUAAACCUCCAAUCCUUCCCGAUCACUUGCCUCUGAAUUCUAGCCGUAUCUCACCUAGGGUUUAGAUCCAUUUUUCCCUCCUAAAUCUAGAGUUCCAUUAUUUACUUCCCCUAUUUUUCCCUGCUUUCUAAUGUAAUCUAGUUUUUUUUUUUUUUUAAAUAUCGUUCUUACUACCAUCAGUUAUAUGAUCUAUUAUUGAUUUAUAGAUUUUAGUUCAAUUUAUGGUUUCGAAUAUUGAUCCUGAAAGUUGUAAUUUUGGCUUCGACGAGUUUUGGGGGAGGAUUUUUUUAACUGGAGUUAUGAGUUUUGUCCCCAAAAUCGUUGUUUUUGUAGAAAACUUGGCUUUGAAGGCUUUAGGGAUAGGGUCAUCGAAAACACUUUUGCCCAGUUCGGUCCUAGAAAUAGAGAAUAAAGUGCUUUUUGGCCAAAGUGGUGCUUAGAUCUAAAGCUCAUCCGGUGGUAAUGGAAAAUUUCUUGUAUAUCCAGUGUAAUGUCUAUCUAUGAAGUCAAAUUUGGAUUUCCCGAGGGUAAUAUUCAAGGAUUAAUGGUGUUUCAGUCUUUUCCAUUAAAGACUUGGUUAACCAAUCCUCUUCAUACUUGUUGUACAUGCAAUAUGCAAGCUUUAUUGGUUGAGCACAGCUAUGUGCCAUUGAUGAACCGAUGAGAAAUUUAGUAUCAUUAGCAGUCACAUCGGGAAAAGUUUUCAAUGUCACGUUUGAAACCAAACAAUGAGAAUUUCAAAGAUGCAGGUUGUAUACGAGAGGGACACGAAGAAAACACUCAGUCGAUCUCGAUUGCAGUAGAUCUUCGUCACUGGUUGCUAUGUAAGUAUUACGGAUCUUAUUGCUCCAUCACCAAUUGCUCUAUAAAUUUUACAAUGCCCUAACCUAGAUAUUUCUUUCAUAUAUUUUUUUUUGCAUAUAAGGGCUAAUGUUGCAAAUCUGGUUGUGAAUAUAUAUGGUGUUGAAUCUAUUUUGUACUGCACUUAUCUCAUGAUUUCUUGUUUCUUUUUAUCUCUUGUUUUUUAUGGAUUAUGUUUUUAAGCAUUUUUUGCUUUUUCUUGCAUAGAACAUUAAUUUUAAGUUGAAAUAAUAAUAUUUUUAUCAGAAAAUGAAAGCUUCCUAAUGAUAAAUUAAUUAUCAAGUGGUACCACCUACGUACUAAUCAUCUCCAGAUCCAGUACGACUUAAUAUUUCUCAAGCUAUCUAGACUUAAUUUGUUAUAAAUACAUGCUUCCCUAGUUGCUGUUGUUUUGUACUCUAUUUUUUGUUAUAGGUUUUUCUACAUAAAUAUGGUAAGAUGUUUCAUAUCAUAAGUUUUGUAUGAAAUGAAGCAUCUAUACAACUUUUUAUGCUUAAGUCAGAUUACAGUUUGUGUUUAUUAAAAAUUUAUGGGUUUUAUUUUUUUGGUUUGCAUGUCAUUAUUUUUAUUUCUUUUUUAAUUGGUAGGCAAAGUUUUCUUACUGAAACUGUUCAGUUGAUAUUUAUUUUGAUGUAGCUAAGUUCUUGAUCAAUCCUAGAACUUGAGUAUACUAAACCAAACCAACCUAUUUGCAAGACUUAAAAAAAGAGACUAUCUCAAAAACUUUUGACAGUUUUUUCUCCAGUUUAAUGCAUUUGUGUUUGCAUUGUUUGAAUCUAUGUCUAAUUAUAAUAUACCAAUUAGAUUGUAAAAGAAAAAAAAAAAUAGGUGGAUUUGGUAAAUAAUAUUGUUGAUAAUAGUAUUGUGUUUGUUUUAUAUUGAUUUCAAUUCUAAUUACCCAUGAGUUGCUUUAUGCCUCAAUUAUGAAAAACAACAUCAAUUCUAUUGUUUUGUACUCUGUUUUUUGUUAUAGGUAUUUCUAAUAAGUUUUAUGAAUUUCUACAUAAAUAUGUUUAGAUGUUUCAUAUCAUAAUUUUGGUAUGAACUGAAGGAUCUAUACAACUUUUUAUGCUCAAGUCAGAUUGCAGUUUGUGUUUAUUAAAAAUUUAUGGGUUUAAUUUUUUUGGUUUGCAUGUCAUUAUUUUUAUUGGUGGCUUUGACCUGUGUAGUGAAGGCUUUUCCUAAGGAUGACCCAACCAAGCCCUUGUUUUUUUUUCAUCUUUUCUCUAUUUAUGGUUUCUUGCGGUUCUUAAGCAUCCCCUUGUUUUCAUCUCUUCAAGUCUUUGGCUGAGAAAACCAGUAUCUUGAAUUACAAUUUAAAUUCUAAUGAAGUUGUGUUAGCAUUCUCGUGCAAAGGAUGUUUUGGUAGAAUUGACUUUGCACACUGUUAUUCUUCUCCUUAGGAGAUCUUAGAAGUAAUUUUUUCAAGCUAUUACAGUUGGUUCUAAGGUAGGUGCAAUAUGUUGGUUUUUUCUACAUCUGGUUCUGUACAAUACUGGAUUCAAAUUGUGCCAGAUGCAUUUAUUCCAUUCAAUCAAGCUUGUGUAGUAAUGUACAGUUUUGUUUCCUUCCUGUUGGCAAGCAAUUGAUGUUUUAGUGGUCUGCCUAUUGGAAUUGAUGUUUUAGUGGUCAGUUUCAUUACAUCAUAAAACUUAGAGAUUAUUAAAAGGCAGUAAUCUAGUAGCAUAAAACUUAGAGAUUGAUGUAAUGCAUAGAUAGAUUAUAUAUAAUAUAAACACAGAAAAGACAGUAAAACUAACCUUUUUAAUGUACCUUCAAACCUUUGCACCACUGCACUGCUUCACCACACCUGAUUUGAUAGAGAGAGAGCAUGGAUAGGUUUUCUGAAUUCAGUUUUGUGAUAGGUUUUAUAAAAAGUUUUAUGAAUUCCAUGAUUUUAUGGUAUCAGGUAGUUCAUUUCUUAGAAAUAUGAAAAAAUAUAUGUAAUGCAUGGAUAAACUUAUACUAUAAACACACAAGAAAGUUACUCACUUUUCAAUCUUCCUUCAAACCAAGGAAACCGUAGCACUAAUGCACUAAAAGUAAUAGAAGGUAUCAGUCACUUUCCAAAUGUUAGCACCAUUGCACUGAAAGUAAUAGAAGGGUUUUCUUAAACCCCUUUCAAUGGUUGUUGGGUUCCUACGAAAUGUCUCUUGGUAUUCAAACUUUGAAUAUGACUGCUGUACUGUUUGGCCAUUCGGCUGCCUCAUCAAGUGAUUGAAAAUUACUAAUUUCUCCCUGCCUACACACAUGGACAUAAAAGGUAACUUAUUACAAAUUAUAAGUUAUACUGUAUAUUAUAAAAACUUAUUAUAAAUUUCUAUUACAUUUGAUUAAAAUCUGCCUCCACAGAUUUUUAACUUAUAUUUUCUCUCUAGUUUCAACUUCAAUUCCAAUGCAAUAGCUGGCACACGUACAAAAGAGGAAAAAUAAGAAGAAAUGAGAUUGUAGUCUUUCAAAAUUGUAACUUAUUAUAAUGUUUUGUCAUUAUAAUUUAUAGGAAAAGACAAUAGUAUCCCUGCCUAAUUAAUUUGGCACUAUUUUUCUUAAAAAAUUUGAGUUAUUAUAUUAAUAGAAUUCAAACAGACAACGCAUUUGGCCA